CUCAAAGGUCUGUUCAUGCUCGUUCCCCAGCCAAUCGAGACGACGCGGCAAAACCUGGGAAUCGAAAGCUUCUUCUUCCCGUGUGACACUCGAGUGCCAUUCGCCCCGAACUGGUCGCGCAGGCGUUUCGAUAGUUUGCGACUGGGCGCUCACGAGCUGGCUAUCGAUUGUCGUUGGACUGGGCCUGAUUUGAAUUUGAAAGCACUUCAUAUGGAUGUUCUAGUCCUUUUUAAAUGUUCUUUUAAACUGACCGAAAAACCAAACUUUCUGAGUAGUUGUUUUGAUUGUUCUUAAUCAAAAUGAAUGAAAGCGGUCAUCUAAGCUGUAUAUAUAUGUGUGCUUUUUAAAUGGAAAAAAUAAACAAAACAAGGUGUA